rnacentral:lncRNA from 1 species
GAAGAUUGACGAGUAUGUUUCAUCGUGACAGGUAUUUUCUUGUAUUGAUUUUUAUGAAUCCUUAAACUUUGCCAAUUCUAUGCCUGACUUCAAUGUGCCAUGGCUUUGCAGGUUUUGUCAUGCCAUCCUCUUUGAUAAAUGAUGCUUAAUGGUUGGAUGUUACUACUGCCUUGUGAUGCAUUACAGGUUUUGUUUUUGAGACGAACUAGCUUAUGGUGACAUGACUAGUUAUGGACCAAGGUCUUUUCUUCAUGUGUCAUGAUGUUGUAACACGUCGGUACCUGUUUUAAACCUUGCGUAAUUAGUGCUUCUGCAGGUUGUGCUCUACUGAUAUAAUGAUGACAUUUGGUUACGCGACCGUUUGAGUUCGAUCUGGUAUGCGACUUAACGCAGGUUUUGCUGUGACCACUGAUGUGUUGCAGGAUGCUGAUUAACUCAUUCCUGUUGGUAAGCCUAUCAUUACCAUAGAGUUAAACCAUCUCUUUCAUUGUGUGGUAUGAUAACAUUACCGAUGUAUUCAGUCUGUGUUAGUAACCUACUGCAGGUCUGUGAACCUCGAAGUUUUUUCUCAGUUUUAUGUAUUCUAAAAUUUGGAUGCUGCAUUUUGCAGGUUGCAGUUUUUGACUGCUUGCGCAGAAAAUGUAUCUGUCCAAAAGUAGACUGUCACGCUGGAUUGUAAUCAUUGCAGGAUGCGUCACAUUUGGUAGGUUGCAGUUUCAUGUUAUUUUGGCUUGACUGAUUAUUGCAUGUUUUGGAUCGAUACACAUUGCUUGCCAAUUUCAGGUUGGUAAUUCGGAUGGAAGCAAGGCAGUGCAUACUGAUUGACUGAUCAAGGUGAACUGUUACCUUUGUGUUGCAGGUCAUGGCGUGCUUGCUAAAGGGUAGCAUGCGGCUAUUAUGCUGUUAGCUUUGGUUCUGCAGCCAAGAUUUCUUGCUGUUUAAAGGGAUAGUUUGAUGACCGUUGAUGUUAGCUAGUGAUGUGGUUCUGCAACAGCUUUGGUUGGCAGCGGUAUUGAUGACACAGGUGGUGCAAGUGAGAAAACUUGACAAG